rnacentral:siRNA from 1 species
GACCACUCCAUUCACGUCAUACGU